rnacentral:sRNA from 1 species
CUGCCCUACACAGAGCCAUGAGACCCCAGAUCCUGCUGCUCCUGGCCCUGCUGACCCUAGGCCUGGCUGCACAACGCCAAGACAAAGUGCCCUGUAAGAUGGUAGAAAGCCUCACCUAGAUGACCCCCUAUCCCUCAUACCAUGGAGUCAUGAGCUGUCUGGGAAGAAUGGACGUGCUGGGACCAACUCAAGACCUUGUUUUGCUGUCUUCAUCAUCUUACCUGUGCUUGGCCCACAGUCUAGCUCAUGGUGUGGGCUCAGUAAUGUGCGAGAAAAUGAAAAUGCCACUUUCUCUCUCCAUCCCAUUUUACAGAGGAGAACACCAAGGCCCAGAGGAAGUUAAGGGAGAAUCAAUGGGCAGAGCCAGGGCUAGGCCCUGGUGAUGUGUGGAACACCCAGGCAGACCCAGUCCUGGUUGGGAUCACAACCACAGGUGCUACUGCACAUAACACUCUUCCUUAGGCCUGGAGGCCAAGGUGUGGGUCCCCACGCCUGAUCUUUGAAAACACUACACAAUGCUGCUGUCACUUCUCAGGACCCAGGCCGCAGCCCAGGCCUCGGGACCAACUCU